rnacentral:lncRNA from 1 species
CCUAUGUGGAGAUAGAUUUGUACGCUUUUAUUUACAUUUAUCUGCAAAAGAAAAUACACGUCGUGCUCAGUUGUUGAAGUGGCUCUCUUCCCAGUCCUUCAGAGCACACAUAACGUCUAAAACGUAAAAAAAAACAUGUGAAAGGUUUGCAAAAUAAUGCAUUGUAGCAAUGAAAACAUACAUGAUCAACUCUAAAUGCAAAAUAACAUUUAAAACUAGGAAAGGAGGCUAAACCCCCCCCCCCCCUUCUUUUCCUUUUCCAACUACAAAAUGUGAUUUGGUUCAAAAUAGUCCGACAAUAAAUUCUUUUCAUGUGUAUUUAUCAUGUCAGUGUUCAUAGGAGGUGACCAAAUGAUUUCUUGCGGCGUCAAGAAAGUCUUAAAAAUAUUGUUAUGGAUCGUGCAUGUAUGAGGGGGGAUAGGGCCUUUAUCAGGACUCCAGGAUCUGGUGUUUUUAGGCUCAGGGUUUCGGGAUCUAUUAAGAGAUACAGGAAUUCUUUUUUUGAAUUACUGGAUGUCAGAAUUUAAAUUUAUUUAAAUUCGGGAUUUCAUGUUUAAGGGAUCAGGACCCCUCUUACCCCUGGUCAUGUAUGAGGGUGAUACUUGUAAUCCCUGGGAAAUCGGGAAAUCACAAAUCGUUAAAAAAAUUGGCGAAUGACGUUUAUAAUAGUAAUUUUUGGUGCAUGACUAUAAAAAAGUGCACAUUUCUUUAGGUGAUAUCAAAAUCAAUUAAUUUUGACACUGUCAAGAGUGGAUAAAUAUCGUAUUGCAAAAGAUUAUGUGGUGAAAUCUGUUUCUCUGUCUUCAUGUCGUCACAAUGGGAAUUUCAGAUAACAGCCUGAAAAUUUGACGUCAUAAUCAAAUAUUGACCAAUGAACAACUAAGAUCAAACUAACCACACAAUAGCCUGAAACUAACCACAUAAUAACCAGAUAAUAGCCUGAAAAUUUGACGUCAUAAUCAAAUAUUGACCAAUGAACAACUAAGAUCAAACUAACCACACCUAGAUUAAAUGAAAAUAAUCAUCAGGUCGGGAAUGCCAUAAAACGAGUUAAAAAAAUCUUCAUAAUAAAAAAUUUAUUUAUUUUUUAUCACCAAUGUAAACAUAUAUCACCAUUGUAUAUAUAUAUCACCAUUGCAAACAUCUAUCACCAGUGUAUAUAUCUAUUAUCCUACUGUUUUUAUAUAUAUCACCAAUAUAAAUAUCUAUCACCUCACUGUAUUUAUCACUACACUAUAUAUUACCAAUAUAUUAAAAUCUCCAAACUGAAUAUACAUGUAUCUAACACCACUCUGUAUAUUUAUCAACACUCUAUAAAUCUAUCAACACACUAUAUAAUAAUCACCAUUCUGUAUUAAUCACCACUUUGUACAACACUGUAUAUCUCUAUCACCAUGCUAUAUAUUUAUCACCAUUCUGUAUUAAUCACCACUUUGUACAACACUGUAUUUAUCUAUCACCAUGCUAUAUAUUUAUCCCCACUCUAUAAAUCUAUCAACAUAUGUUUAUAUCUAAAACCGCUGUAUAUAUUUAUCACCAUUCUGUAUUUAUUGCCACUCUGUAAAAGGCUGUAAAUAUAUUCUGUCACCAUACUUUAUAUAUCUGUCACCAGACUUAAUAUUUCUGUCAAUACACUUAACAUAUCCAUCACCACACUUUAUAUAUCAAUCACCUGGCUAUAUAUAUCUAUCACCUGAUCACUUUAUAUAUCAAUCACCUCACUAUAUAUAUCUGUCACCAUACUUUAUAUAUAACUCACCACACUUAAUAUAUAUGUCACCUCACUAUAUAUAUCUGCCACCAUACUUUAUAUAUCUGUCACCAUACUUUAUAUAUCUGUCACCAUACUUUAUAUAUCUGUCAUAACACUUAACAUAUCUAUCACCACACUUUAUAUAUCCAUUACCUCACUAUAUAUAUCUAUCACCUCACUUUAUAUAUCUAUCACUACUCUUUAUAUAUCUGUCACCAAACUAUAUAUCUAUCCCCACACUUUAUAUAUUCAUCACCUCACUAUAUAUCUGUCACCAUACUUUAUAUAUCUGUCACCAUACUUUAUAUAUCUGUCACCAGACUUUAUAUAUCUGUCACCAUACUUUAUAUAUCUGUCACCAUACUUUAUAUAUCUGUCACCAGACUUUAUAUAUCUGUCACCAUACUUUAUAUGUCUGUCACCAUACUUUAUAUAUCUGUCACUAUACUUUAUAUAUCUGUCACCAUACUUUAUAUAUCUAUCACUAUACUUUAUAUAUCUGUCACCAUACUUUAUAUAUCUGUCACUAUACUUUAUAUAUCUGUCACUAUACUUUAUAUAUCUGUCACCAUACUUAACAUAUCUUUCACCAGACUUAAUAUUUCUGUCAAUACACUUAACAUAUCCAUCACCACACUUUAUAUAUCAAUCACCUCACUAUAUAUAUCUAUCACCUGAUCACUUUAUAAAUCAAUCAUCUCACUAUAUAUAUCUGUCACCAUACUUUAUAUAUAUGUCACCACACUUUAUAUAUCCAUCACCUCACUAUAUAUAUCUGUCACCAUACUUUAUAUAUCUGUCACUAUACUUUAUAAAUCUGUCAUUACACUUAAACAUAUCCAUCAUCACACUUUAUAUAUCCAUCACCUCACUAUAUAUAUCUAUCACCUCACUUUAUAUAUCUAUCACUACUCUUUAUAUAUCUGUCACAAGACUAUAAAUCUAUCCCCACACUUUAUAUAUCCAUCACCUCACUAUAUAUCUGUCAUCAUACUUUAUAUAUCCAUCACCUCACUAUAUAUAUCUGUCACCAUACUUUAUAUAUCUGUCACCAGACUUAAUAUUUUUGUUAAUACACUUAACAUAUCCAUCACCACACUUUAUAUAUCAAUAACCUCACUAUAUAUAUCUGUCACCAGACUUUAUAUGUCUGUCACCAGACUUAAUAUAUCUGUCACCACACUUAACAUGUCCAUCACCACACUUUAUAUGUCUGUCACCAGACUUAAUAUAUCUGUCACCACACUUAACAUGUCCAUCACCACACUUUAUAUAUCAAUCUCCUCACUACAUAUAUCUGUGACCAGACUUUAUAUAUCCAUCACCUUACUAUAUAUAUCUGUCACCAGACUUUAUAUAUCAAUCACCUCACUAUAUAUAUCUGUCACCACACUUAACAUAUUCAUCAUCAGACUUUAUAUAUCUGUCACCAUACUUUAUAUAUCUGUCACCACACCUUAUAUAACUGUCACCAGACUUUUUAUAUCUAUCACCACACCUUAUAUAUCUGUCACCAGACUUUUUUAUCUAUCACCAUACUUUAUAUAUCUGUCACCACACCUUAUAUAUAUCCAUCACCAGACAUUAUAUAUCCAUCACGUUACUAUAUAUAUAUAUAUCUAUCACCGCACUUUAUAUAUCUAUCACUACAUUUUAUAUAUCUGUCACCAGACUUUAAAUAUCUAUCCCUACAUUUAAAAUAUCUGUCACCACACUUUAUAUAUCUGUCACCACACUUUAUAUAUCUGUGACCACACCUUAUAUAUCUGUCACCAGACUAAACAUAUCUAUCACCACACUAUUUAUCUGUCACCACACUUUAUAUAUCUGUCACCACACCUUAUAUAUCUGUCACCAGACUGUAUGUAUCUAUCACCACACCUUAUUUAUCUGUCACCACACUUUAUUUAUCUAUCACCACACUUUUUAUAUCUAUCACCAAACCUUAUAUAUAUGUCACCAUACUUUAUAUAUAUAUGUCACCAUACUUUAUAUAUAUGUCACCCCACUUUAUAUAUCUGUCUCCACACUUUAUAUAAGUUUUUCACCUCACUUUUUAUAUCUGUCACCACACAUUAUAUAUACAUCACCACAUAUUUACUAUCUAUCUCACUUUAUAUAUCUUUCACCUUAAUUUAUAUAUCUAUUUCCUCAUUUUAUAUAUAUAUAUGACAUCCCUGAAAAUAUUUUCUUGACCUCACUGUUGAUAAUUUUUCACCAUAUUUUAUAUAUGUAUCCCCUCCACAUAUGUAUCUUUUAACUAAAUGCACUGCUUAAAUCAAUCAAUCACAACACCAUUGAUAUAUAUGUCACCACACAGUAUAUAUAUAUAUAUAUAUCAUCCUUUUGUUUAUAUAUCAUCACACUGUAUAUAUCUUUAUACUAUUCUGUGGAUCCUUUACCUCACUGUAUAUAUACACAUAACCCCACUAUAACUAAGUCCACACUUAUCACCUAUCUAUAUCUAUAUAUCACCAUCAUAUCAUAUUUAUAGUAACACAAUGAUUAUAUCUAUCAUCAUUCUUUAUCUAUUUUUCACCAGACUGUAUACUAUAACUUGUUGUAUCUUCUAUAAGUCAGAGAAAUGUACUGGUCAUUGUAUAAUUUACAGUGGAAGGAGAUAUGCAGAUAUGCAAUGUCCACUGAGAUAUGUUUGUAUAAGCUUGUAUACUUAUCAUGUAGCAAUUAUCAAAUUGAUUAUUUAUAUUUGUGUUCUUCUUACAGAAAUACCAAACAACAUUUUGCAAGGAUUUAGAGGUCAUUGGUGAAAAUGGAAGAAAGGACAUGGGUACAUCUAAUUUUAAAUGAAAUAACAAGAAUAGUUAAAUGAUUUACAACCAAGCAGCACUCAGCAAUAGUGAUGGUAAAGUAUUUUUAUAAAAUGAUACUCAAAAAAAGAUAUAUACAGUGUGGUGGUUUAUAUAUUCCUCCAUUGCUACAGUCGCUGCAUUCAUCACCACACUCUCCAUAUAUAUCCCAACAGUCUCAAUAGGUACCCCCAUACUAUGAUUAUCUAUCACUACAGUCUCAAUAGCUAUUUCCAUACUAUGAUUAUAUAUCACUACAGUCUCAAUAUCUAUCCUCAUACCAUGAUUAUCUAUCACUACAGUCUCAAUAGCUAUACCCAUACUAUGAUUAUCUAUCACUACACUCUCCAUUCAGAUGCCAACAGUCAUUAUGUAUAUAUCAUAAUAGUCUCUAUGUAUAUCUCAGGAUAAUACAAAAGCUUCCCCUUUACUUUAUUUAUCAAUCACCUCACUUUAUAUAUCAAUCACCACACUCUCUAUAUAUAUAUCCCCAUACUCUCUAUAUCUACCCCAAAAGUCUCUAUGUUAUCCACAUAAUAACACCUUAGAUCACCUUACUUUAUUUAUCAAUCACCUCACUUUAUAUAUCAAUCACCACACUCUAUAUAUAUAUCCCCAACUCUCUAUAUCUGCCUCAAAAGUCUCUCUGUAUAUAUCUCCACACAAUAAACCUUUAUCACCUUACUUUAUUUAUCAAUCACCUCACUUUAUAUAUCAAUCACCACACACUCUCUAUAUAUAUUCCCAUACUUUCGAUAUCUAUCCCCACAGUUUCUAUGUUUAUGACCACAUUAUAAACACCUAUCACCUUACUUUUUUUAUCAACCACCUCACUACAUAUAUCAAUCACCACAUACUCUCUAUAUAUAUCUCCAUUCUCUCUAUAUUUACCCAAAAUUCUCUAUGUAUAUCUCCACACAAUAUACCAUAUCACCUUACUGGAAAUACCAAUAACCUCACUUUGUAAAUCAAUUGCUCAUUUCAUAUGUAUCACCUCACUCAGAAUAUCUAUCAGUUCACUGUUAAUAUUUUCACCUCAAUUUAUACAUUAUGUCUUUCACACCACUGGGUAUAUCUCUCAAAGCCCUAUUUAUUCCAACUUGAAAGUGGAUAUGAGUAUGAUAAUAAUCCAUGUUUCUGUACAGAAAUCUGUUUAUGUUAAUUUAGAUUUUAAACUUAAAAUGACUCAAUGUGACACCUAUCAUUGUUAUUAUUUUUUUUCUUCAGAAAAGUGAAACAAGAUUUUUGAUAGAUAGAAAAUAGGAGAAAAGGAAAAGGUAAUCUUCAUUGAAAUUUAAAGUAUUAUACAUAUGUAUGUUAAGAGUUAAUUAGCAAAGUAUUAUACAUAUGUAUGUAAAGAGUUAAUUAGCAAAGUAUUAUACAUAUGUAUGUAAAGAGUUAAUAAGCACUUAAACAAUCCUGGUUGAAAUGAAAUAAUUUAAAAGAAAUGUUUUUUAAAGUAUAACCGCUCCAACACUGUCAUGCAAUAUUUUAUGUAAAUAUCAUGUCAGGCAUCUUUUCAGUAAAAGCAGCAAAUAUGAUAUACUAACUGGGGGUCAAUGAUUGUAACAUUCAAAAUGAGUAAACCUUAUAAAUAUAUUGUUUCAGUGUUAUUGCACUUGAAGCAUUGUCUACAGUAUACAUCUGCUGGCACACACAUAAUGUAUAUACCACCACCACAUAUUAUGUAUCUACUGCCACACAUAAUAUAAUUAUGGCCACAUAUAAUAUAUCGACCGCCACACAUAAUAAAUCAACACACUGUGUAUAUCUAUCACCAUAUUAUGUUUGUCUAUCACCACACUAUUGUUUAUCACCACAUUAUUGUCUAUCACCACACUAUCUUAUUUGUCUAUCACCACACUAUGUGUUGUUCUAUCACCACACUAUGUUUGUCUAUCACCACACUAUGUUUGUCUAUCACCACACUAUCUUUGUCUAUCACCACACUACGUUUGUCUAUCACCACACUAUGUUUUUCUCUCACCAUUCUAUGUUUGUCUAUCACCACACUUUAUAUUUUAAUCAUCACAGUUGUAAAGCAAAGAAAAGUAAUUACCCAAGAAAAAAAUGAUUUGAACUUUUCAUUUAAAUGAUUGGUCUCACAAAUGAAUUGUAUUUCUAUAAGUUUUACAUUUUGAUACUGUCUUGGGAUUCUGCCAUUGCAAUGAUGAAAACACUCCUAUUUGUCCUUAGAUGGAAAACAAAUGACAACUGUUUGGGACUUUUAAAUUUUGUAUUGUUUUGGAAUAAUUAUUUAUUCAACUGAACCAUAUUGUUAUGUUUUAGGUUAAACAAGAUUUAGUGCCUGCCACACAAUUAAGAAAGAAUGAGAGGCAAGAAUGUCUACAGAACAGAGGAGAUUAUUUGUACUGCACUUCGAUUUGUGUUAUAGUUAUAUUCAAUUAGUAUUAAAGAGUUAUGUACAAUAAAUCAUGUUAUAUUAUGUUCUUUAAAAAAUACU